rnacentral:piRNA from 1 species
CAGAUAAUCAUGUAUUAGUUCUGUUGC